CAAAACAAAAAAUCUAAUUUUUACCACAAUAAAGCUGUGUUUUAUUUUACGAUGUAUCAUUAGCACUCCGAUUACUCCAAACAUAUAUCUAAUAUACAUCCCCUGCUUUAUUAAGUGUAUGUUUUGUGAUGUAUUAGAUGUUAUGUUUUUACCAUUUUCAGUUUACUCAAGAAAUCACAAAAAAUGCACAGACAUACAUUUAAAUUUUCUGAGAUUUCUUAUUUAAAUACAUCCACUUUGAGUAAUACAAACAGAUAAGAAACAGGAUUGCAUCUGGGUGUUUUCACCCUUAUUAUCAAUGAUAAUAUCUUUUAGAAUUAUCUAAAUUUUUGCAGAUAAUCUAAAUUGUUAGAAGUGAAAAUCUUCAUAGUAUAAUAUAUUUGAGAUCAUAUGGGACUAUUAUCAUGAUUAUACAAGUUUUUUCUAAUGAAAAUUUAAAGAUCUACAUUUAACUGCAAUUUGUAUAGUUUUCCUUUGAUCCUACUGCCUAACAUUUGUUUAGAGCACAGAUAGGACUUGAUACUCUAAAAUAUUAGGCAAUGAAAUCACAUAUCAGUGCAGUAACGUUGCAUGUUCAUGUCCAUUUGCAUCAAUUUAUCAAUAAAAUGCAGUGGUCUAAGUAGUUGAACUACUGUAUCACUAGCCAGUCAACACUGAGGUUGUGAGUUCGAAUCCCAUAUGUGGCAGGUGCGCUCGACUCCAAUCUUAAUUUACUAGGAUUGCCACUUUUCCUGCUGAAGGUCGGUGGUUCUCUCCGGGCACGACAGUUCUUCCACCAAUAAAAACUGAAAUAGCACAAUAGUGUUGAAAGUGGUGUUAAAAACCAACCAAUCAAUCAAUAUUAAAUCAUGUGGUCAUAUACAUUUUUUUUGUACAUAUGGAAAUGAGAUGUGCCAAUGCUAAUACAACUGCUACCAAAUACCAUUGACUUUUCAUAAGUCGUUCCCUUUAAAAAAACCUAAACACAAACAUUAACUUGUAAACUAAGCAAAAGUUUCAAAGUCAAUAGACCAUGACUGAAGGGGCGGGACCAAAUAAUCUACAUGGAAAUGAGAUAUGCCAAUGUUUAUACAACUGCAUACCAAAUAUCAUUGACCUACCACUAGUGGUUUACCAUAAACUGAUCUAAUCACAAACUAAUACAUGUACAUGAAAACUAAGCAAAAUUUUCAAAGUCCAUAGACCAUGACUGAAGGGGCGGGGCCAAAUAAUCUCCAUGGAAAUGAGAUAUGCCAAUGCUUAUACAAGUGCAUACCAAAUAUCAUUGACCUACCACUAGUGGUUCCCCAUAAACUGACCUAAUCACAAACUAAUGCAUGAAAACAAAGCAAAGUUUCAAAGUCAAAAAUUCGUAAGGGUUCCAUGGAACCCAGUGUCUAGCCUACUUUUGCUGUUAAUUGCAGGCUCAACAAAAAUGAGGAAAAAAAUCAAUAAAAAUAUUCCUUUAGAUACUAUCUUUUGAUUGUAAGAAGCUUCUGUCAAAGUUUGGUAUAAAUCCAGGAUAGUUUAUGAAUCUAAUAAAUGUUUUAAAAACUUUAACUGCAGACUGUAUUUAAUGUUAACUGGAAGAAAAACUAAGUCCAUUUAUAAGUAAAAUACGGAUAAACAGGAAUUUUUUUUUUUUAAAUUUACUUCUGGAUACUAUCUUAUGAUCAUAAACAAGCUUCUGUCCAAGUUUGGUAGAAAUCCAGGAUAGUUUAAGAAAGUUAUUAAAAUUUCAAAAACUUUAACCACAGAGUGAUAUUUGUGGACGCCGCCGACGACGACGGAAUGUAGGAUCGCUAUGUCUCGCUUUUUCAACUAAAGUCGAAGGCUCGACAAUAAACCAUGACUGAGGGGGCGGGGCCAAAUAAUCUCCAUGGUAAUGAGAUGUGCCAAUGCUAAUUCAACUGCAUACCAAAUAUCAUUGACUUACCACUAGCUAGUUAAAUCACACACUAAUACAUCGUUGACGAUGCGGCCACCACCGGAAACAGCAUACCUAUGUCUUGCUUUUUGACUCCGUCAAGGCGAGACAAAAAUAACUGACGCCACUGCCAAAUCAGUUCCACUAAUGAAAAGGAGUUUAAUUCAGCUGAAUUUUGGC